UACAUGACUCACAGUUUGAUGGCUUUGUUUGUUUGUUUUUUCACGAGUCACAUGGGGACACAAAAGCUUCUCAUUAUCCCAGGGCAAAAGGACGUGGCGAUUGACCCAGUAAGCUUGCAGGACCUGGAGGUGUGAGCUGAUCUGAGCUGUAGUGCGGCUCAGCUGCGGCACGUUCAAGGCCAUGGACACUCUUACGCUCAGAGGGCCGGCACUCGGAGGACUGUGAGAAACUAGCAGGCCUAAGCUGACAGUAAGAAGGAUCCGCUUUCCUCCUUUCUGCCCCCACAUAACCCCCCUGCAGUGGAAGGGAAGAAAUCAGCCUUGAAAAAAGCUCAGAAAGAGAGGAACUACAUUCACUGCAGUGGUAUAACCUGCUGUGUGUUUGAACGGAUCUAACUGGACUCGAGUCGUGUGGGCAGCAUGUGGCUUUUCUGUAAUGAGUGAACUCGUAACUCAUACAGGCUACUUUGUUUACCGGACACAUUGCCGGACCUUUAAUCUGCCGGACCUUCAGUCUGCCGGACACGCUGCCCGCUUUGUCAGAGUGAUUAUUAGUUAUCAGUCCUGAUUGAUCUCUGAUGAUUUCAGCGCGGUGAGUCCAGCGCUGUCCUACUUUCCUCUCCGCCGAGUCUGUGGAAGUUCCCCCACCCGCUUUCCGCCUCCUGCGCUUGGAUUGGCCAGCGCGGAUGAGCCAUUAGCCAAUCGCAGCGCAGGUGGCGGGAUGUUUCCAUUCAGUCCGCGCGCUGGAGGCGGAGCUCUGCCCAA